UUUAAAAGAGUACUCAACCAAGUCAUACAACAAAUAAUCAUAUUUCUAUAUGGCAGUAAAUCCAUGGAAGCAGAUAACACAAUAACUGGGUGCUGCGAGGCUUCGCAUAGAGGAGGUCUUAUACCAUACUGUCCUCCAGCUCCACCAUGCACAUCUCUACAUCUUAUAAUUGAUGCUCGCUUCCCACAUAAUUGUAAACUUGUCUUAUAUUCAAUUCUUUAUCAACAACAACAUUCAAGGUCCAUUCAUAUGAAGCUUACUGCUAGUCUACUAUAAGAGCGUACUCAAUAGAUCCUCGUCCCCUGCCGUGUGCUAGCCUACCUUUGAGACACAGAGCACGGGCUCACCUGUCAGUGACUCAAAGGCAGAGUAUGGCAGGGGUUUCUAAGUCAGAGAAUCCACCUCCCAUAGGCGUCGAGGCCACCAAGCCCAACAUUGACUGCUGCUCCUCCCUUUCUUCCUCUACUAUUUUUUCUGAAUGGCCUUUCUUCUUGUAUUCAUUCUCUCAACUCCAUGCUUUCCUGAUCAUCCUCUUCCUCUUAUCACCAGCUAGGCAUUUAACUAAACAAGGUAAAUGGGGAAAGGUACAUUCUACAAACCAUGUCAAUGAGAUCUACAUAGAUCGAUUGAUCAAAUAGUGAAAAUCUGAGAAAUCUAAAUCUGAACUAACCAAAAAAAAAAAGCAAGCCAUCUUCGGGCUAUCUAACUGUACCCACAUGUCUGCUCCAAAGAUUUGGUUAUGGAAAGAAAAGGGAGUACAGUGGAGUUGGGUUGAUGCCUAAUGAACGACCAAUCGCUCAAGCUACUCCAGCUUCCCGCCUCCCAGCUUGAAUUGAUGCUGCCACUAUGGCCAGCAAGCAUCCGCCACCAAGAUUCAUGCAUUUCAGCUUCACGUACACCAACAUGCCCUGCCGCUCAUCCUGCCGUCUACAUGCCCUUGCAGGUUCUGUGCACCGGGAGAAGAAAAAUCAAUGAAAAAUAGAAAGACCAGAUGUUAUAAGCAAUGACAGAUGACACACAUCAAGGGACUUAUUUGUGAAGGACCGAGCUAACAACAUUCAUAUAUUGUUUUAAAGCUUGGGGCUUCCCGUGAAUGGCAACACUCAUUUAGUUCUGCACCAGUCAAUGUAAAAAAUUCAGGAGCAGCAUCAAAGAUCAACCAAAAUGUUACAAAAUAAUUUAAAAACACAGGGCCCAAAUCUGGAAUGGUCAUUGUGAAUUGGCUCAGAGAAUGUGAACCAUAUAACCAGGAAAGUGCUAUACAUAAUAGUAUAAACGAAGAUUAUCACAAAAUUCAUCCCUGUCAACCUCUACCGACACAGUUGUGCCCUGUCAUGUGGGGCGCUGCGUACAGGCGCGGGACGCGCGCCCAGGAGCAGCAGCCGGCGGCCACAGCUGGCGAGGCAUGAUCGGGGCAAGGAGUCCUGAUCCUACGAGUCCAGGAGUAGUUAGUUUCCUAGUUUGUUCUGAUCCUAUGUUGGUUCCUAGAGUUCAGGAGUUAGUUUCCAAUUUGUUAGAAGCUCAUAAGGCCUUUAUAUAUCCUGUAAUCUGCACCCUUUGACGCAAGCAAGAAAUCAUUAUCUCCUACCUCUUCUUCUUCUCCUAAUCUCUUCUCCUGCACCAUUGAGCAGUUAGGAAAAAACCCUAGCGCUCCUAUCAACCGAGACUACGAACUACAUAGUCGAGGUCCUGUUGUCUUGGGCACCGAGGUCCUUGACAACUAGGUAUCGGGUUCCAGGCGAUCCUCUUCCUCGUCCGCGCUCCAUCCGCAGCCCGCCUCCACCCCUGCGUCCGCGCCAAGCACACCUCCAUCGCCACCAUCCGCCACCGCCUCGGUCACUUCCGGUAUGGCAGAACCAACCACCGCUGAUCUGGCCAAGAUGAUCGAGGCCUUGACUGCAACGGUGGCGUCCCUGCAGACGUCUGUCGCCGCACUCCAAAAGGACAAGUCCGCCUCCUCGUCGAGCGCUGACGGAGCCCACGAUGGGCAGCACCACAAUGAUCGACCGCCCCUGUUUCAGAAGAUGGACUUCCCCAAGUUCGACGGCAAGUCCGAUCCUCUCGCAUUCAUCAACAGAUGCGAGUCCUUCUUCCAUCAACAACGGAUUGCCGAGGAGGAGAAAGUGUGGAUGGCGUCAUACAAUCUCGAGGGUACUGCCCAACUGUGGUAUAUGCAGGUCCAGCACGAUGAGGGCACGCCUCCGUGGCGCCGCUUCACCGAGCUGCUCAAUCUCCGCUUCGGGCCACCUCUGCGCACUAACCCGCUGGGCGAACUAAUGGUGUGCAAGCGCACGACAUCCGUCGUCGACUUCCAGGAGCGGUUUGAGGCGCUCCUUCCCCGGGCAGGCAUCUUAUCCGAGACAUAGAAGGUUUAGAUCUUCACCGCGGGACUCCAGCCACCCCUCAGCCUUGACGUGGAAAUCCACAACCCGUAGUCCCUCGCCGUCGCCAUGAUCCUCACCCGCAAAUUGGAGCUGCGUGACCAGUGCGCGCUCGCCUCCGCGCCACUGGUGCGUUUUCAGCAAAAGGGCAUCCUGCCGGCGCCCAUACCAUGCGUCGCGCCCCCCGCCCCGGCUCCACCAGCGGCACCCUAGCAUGCCCCCAGUCUGCCGGAAGGGCGCCAAAUCAAACGCCUGUCACAGGCGGAGAUGGAGGAACGCCGUCGCCUGGGCCUAUGCUUCAAUUGUAAUGAGAAGUUUGGCAGGGGCCACAACCGCGUGUGCCAGCACAUCUUUCUCCUCGACCUGGCGCUGGACGACGACGACGACGACACGGCCUCCGCCACCGCUGAUGCCUCGUCGGCUGACCCUCAGAUCUCGCUCCACGCAAUCUCCAGCGUGCGCACGAGUGAGACCAUGCAGAUGCAUAUCACCCUCGGGGGUGUCUCCCUCCUCGCCCUGAUCGACUCAGGCUCCACCCACAACUUCAUCGCCGAGGAGGCGGCCGCUCGUGCUACACUGCCAUCCCCCACCACUGAGAAGAUGCGCGUCACGGUGGCCAACGGCGAGCGCGUUCCGUGCCAGGGCGCAUACCGCGCCGUGUCCUUCCGCAUCGACCAAGAGGCGUUCUCGGAGGAUUUCCUCGCCUUGCCGCUCGCAGGCUACGACAUCGUCCUGGGCACGCAGUGGCUUGCGACCUUGGACCGAUUCUGUGGGAUUUCCGCGCCCUCUCCAUGACGUUCUGGCGGAGGGGCCAUCGGGUGUGCUGGCGCGGCAUUGCAGGACCGAACGGACCAUCCCUGAAAUCAUGCAGCGGGCGCGACUUCCUUGACGCCAUCGUCACCGAGUUCGACGGCAUCUUCGCCGAACCCUCCGGCGUGCCACCACCCCGCAGUCGUGACCAUGGCAUCACCCUACUGCCCGGUUCCGCCCCGGUGGCCGUCCGUCCGUAUCACUACCCGGCCGCGCACAAGGACGAGCUGGAGCGUCAGUGCGCCGCCAUGCUCGCCCAGGGCAUCAUCCGAGCGAGUUGUUCCGCAUUCUCAUCGCCGGUACUGCUGGUCCGCAAGCCCGACGGGUCCUGGCGCUUCUGCAUCGACUACCGCGCCCUGAACGCCAUCACCGUCAAGGAUGCGUUUCCGAUCCCGGUGGUGGACGAACUCCUCGACGAGCUCCGGCGCGCUCGUUUCUUCACCAAGCUCGAUUUGCGCUCCGGCUACCACCAGGUGCGGAUGCGUGCGGAGGACAUCCCAAAGACCACCUUCCGUACCCACGACGGCCUCUACGAGUUCCUAGUGAUGCCGUUCGGCCUCUGCAACACGCCGGCGACGUUCCAGGCACUCAUGAACGAUCUGCUGCGGCCGUACCUGUGCCGCUUCAUUCUUGUCUUCUUUGACGACAUCCUCAUUUUUAGCGAGACGUGGGCAGACCAUCUCCUACAUGUGCGCACCGUCUUCACCGUCCUGCACCAGCACCGGCUCUUCGGCAAGCGAUCCAAAUGCGCGUUCGCCGUCGAGUCGAUCUCCUACCUGGGUCACACCAUCUCCGCUGCAGGAGUGGCCAUGGAUCCGGAAAAGGUGCAGGCCGUGGCCGAAUGGCCGCAGCCACGCUCGGCGCGCGCGAUCCGGGGGUUCCUCGGCCUUGCGGGGUACUACCGCAAGUUUGUCAAGGAGUUUGGAGUGGUUGCCGCGCCACUGACGGCCCUCCUUCGCACGGAUGGGUUCUCCUGGUCGCCGGAGGCGGCAGCAGCUUUUACUGCCCUCAAGACGGCGGUCACCACGACUCCUCUCCUCGCGUUGCCGGACUUCACGCGGCCGUUCAUCAUCGAGUGUGACACCUCUACGUACGGCUUCGGGGCCGUCCUUCUUCAGGACCAGCACCCGGUGGCUUUCUUUAGCCGGCCGGCCGCGCCACGUCAUCGUUCGCUGGCAGCAUAUGAACGGGAACUCAUCGGCCUGGUGCUCGCUAUUCGUCAUUGGAGACCAUACCUCUGGGGGCGCCAAUUUGUGGUAAAAACGGAUCACUACAGUCUCAAAUUCUUACUUGACCAGCGUUUGGCAACCAUUCCGCAGCAUCAUUGGGUCGGCAAACUACUGGGGUUCGACUUCACCGUGGAGUACAAGGCCGGUAGUACAAACACGGUGGCGGACGCACUUUCCCGCCGCGACACGGAGGAGACGUCGGUCAUGGCGAUAUCGGGUCCUCGCUUCGACUUCAUCGAUCGCCUCCGGCAAGCUACGUCAACCGAACCGGCGCUCGUCGCGCUGCGUGAGGAUAUCAUGGCGGGUACGCGGCAGCAGCCGUGGUCGCUCUCCGACGGCCUCGUCACUUUCAACGGCCGCCUCUACAUUCCGUCGUCGUCCCCGCUACUCCAGGAGCUCCUCACCGCAGUGCACGACGACGGGCACGAAGGCAUCCUGCGCACCCUGCAUCGUCUCCGCCGCGACUUCCACACACCUAACCUUCGCAAGAUGGUGCAAGAGUACGUCCGCGCCUGCGAUACUUGCUAGAGGUACAAGUCCGAGCACUUGCACCCCGCCGGUCUGCUGCUGCCGCUGCCGGUGCCCACGGGCGUGUGGACUGACGUCGGCAUCGACUUCAUGGAAGCGCUCCCUCGCGUGGGCGGGAAGUCUGUCAUCCUCGCCGUGGUGGAUCGCUUCAUCAAGUACUGCCACUUCGUCGCAUUGGCCCACCCGUACACGGCAGAGUCAGUGGCACAGGUGUUCUUCGCCAAGAUCGUGCGCCUCCAUGGCGUUCCGCAGUCCAUGGUUUCGGACCGCGACCCCGUCUUCACCUUGGCGUUUUGGCGGGAGCUCAUGCGCCUCACCAGGACGAAGCUGCACAUGACGUUGGUGUUUCAUCCUUAGUCGGAUGGCCAAACGGAGGCUGCUAACAAGAUCAUUGUUAUGUACCUGCGUUGCCUCACAGGGGAUCAUCCGCGACAGUGGCUACGGUGGCUUACCUGGGCCUAGUACAUCUACAACACCGCUUACCAGACGGCGACCCAAGAAACUCCGUUCAAGCUCGUGUAUGGCCGCGACCCUCCCACUAUUCGCUCUUACGAGCCAGGCGACACGAGGGUGGCGGCCGUGGCAAAAAGCAUGGCGGAGCGAGACGAGCUACUCGCUGAUGUCCGCUAUCGACUACAGCAGGCGCAGGCGGUCUACAAGUCCUACUAUGACAGACGCCAUCGCGAUGUCAGGCAUGUAGUAGGCGACUGGGUGUGGCUUCGUCUUCGCCAGCGUGCCGCAUCUUCUCUUAACUUGCCAACCAGGGGCAAGCUCAAGCCACGCUUCUACGGGCCAUACCGCAUUUCCGAGGUCGUCAACGACGUCGCCUACCGCCUUGAGCUACCGGUGCGCUCGCGCCUCCAUGAUGUUCUCCAUGUGGCCCUCCUCAAGAAGUUCUUUGGCACGCCUCCAACUGCACCGCUGGGUUUGCCUCCAAUUCACAACGGUGCUUCUGUCCCGGAACCAGAACGCGUGACUCGUUCACACCUCGCACGCGGCGUUCACCAGCUCCUUGUCCACUGGAAGGGCGAGGCUGCGUCAUCGGCAACGUGGGAGGAUCUUGAAAGUUUCGUCGAGCGCUACCCCGCUUUUCAGCUCGAGGACGAGCUGCUCGUCGAGGGGGGGGGGGAGAGAUGUCAUGUGGGGCGCUGCGUACAGGCGCGGGUCGCGCACCCAGGAGCAGCAGUCGGCGGCCACAGCUGGCGAGGCAUGAUCAGGGCAAGGAGUCCUGAUCCUACGAGUCUAGGAGUAGUUAGUUUCCUAGUUUUUUCUGAUCCUACGUUGGUUCCUAGAGUCCAGGAGUUAGUUUCCUAGUUUGUUAGAAGCCCAUAAGGCCUUUAUAUAUCCUGUAAUCUGCACCCUUUGACGCAAGCAAGAAAUCAUUAUCUCCUACCUCUUCUUCUACUCCUAAUCUCUUCUCCUGCACCAUUGAAUAGUUAGGCAAAAACCAUAGCGCUCCUAUCAACCGAGACUACGAACUACGUAGUCGAGGUCCUGCUGUCUUGGGCACCGAGGUCCUUGACAUGCCCAUUCAAAAUAUCACCAAAUUUGAGGUUGAAAUUCAAUUGUAUUUAUGCCAAGGUUAUGAAUGCAGCUUAAAAGAAGUUGUAAAAUUUUAGGAUAUAAAUUUGUUGGAUGACUGCAUAUAAAUUUGUUUUAUAGAAGAUCUAAAGGCUCUUAUAUUUCUUUAUGGAGGGAGUACUUCACAGUCCGAAUAUAAAUUGAUAUACAUGAGUAGAGCCUGAGCUUUCUGAAUCAUCAAUUAGACAAUUAGGAGAUGCUAUUAUACCUCCCGGUCUAGACUCUAGAAGAUGCAAUCAACUCAAAAGUCUUAAGGUCCCAAAAUUUAACAAUUAACAUUUGAACCAUAGAAGCUUGUGUAAAGAACAGAAAGCAAAAGUUACAACUAACCAAGUCUAGAUGAUAUAUAAAUUAUUUUGGAGGAAAGAUGUUAUCUGGGAACACAUCUUAUGCUUUUGUAUAGGUUGUAUAACAUACUAUCACCAUCUGACAUGUGGCUAGUAAAAACUCAUGGGGAACCUGAACAGUUUAGCGGACCUUCAGGAAGCUAAAAGUCAUGCAAGAGCUUUUGACCUAUCAAAUCAACAAUGAGUGACCCCAAAAAUAUAAAGGAUAUCUUCCGCUAGAGCAUGAGUUUAUUCACCUUGUUAAUAUUAGCACUGUUGUGAGCAACUGAGCAUAUAUGGCACCUUUAUAGGUUGGACCAAACAACAGAUUCUCCUGUAAUUUGUUUGUGGUACGGCUUAAUAGGUUCGAUCAAAAUCUUACCUUCACAGAACUCUUAGCCCUACCAGAAACAAUCCACCGACCAUCAGGAGCGAAUCAAGCAGAUCAAUCCUCUCACUAUGACCCUGAUAUGUGUGAACGAAUUUCUACCAUGUCAUUUCUUUUCCUCUUCCACAAGUUCAUCUUCAUCUUUAGCUUGAACAAAUUUAUGUUAAACCAAUGGACAACACCAUCAAUGUCAACAAACAAGAUGAAAAUAACCAAUAACUGUUUCCACACACGGUGAGAGACAUAACUAACAUACAUCUGUGACCCAAUCCUGCUUUUUAGGUACAAAUUCAGAAUAUAAUUUAUAUCUCUUUAUCAGCAGUUCGUCCAACUUGCUUGACUGCCUCCUAAUCAAAAGGCUUCUACCUUGCGGCCUCUCUCUUUCAGGCCUCCUCUUCUUCCUCUACUUGAGGCAGGCCUGACCAUAAGCACCAAUCUGCGCUUAAUCUUUGAGACACCAGUAGCUAGUUGUUCAAUUUAGUGAACAAUAGUUUGUUUGUACAAGUAAAAGAGCAGCAUCAUAAUGGGUUUGAUUGAUUGAACUGAAAAUCAAUAGUUGAAACUAAUAAUCAUGGAUGCAUUCACCACAAAAACAAGGAAUUGGAAGAAAAAGUGGGGCGUGGCUAUCACCAUGUCACGGCAACCGUGUGUGUAGGAGCAGAUCAACCUCAGUGCCGCCAGCCUAUGGCUCAGGCAGGGAGAGAGGGAAAGGAGGCCUCACCAUGGUAGGGCUAGGAGGUGGCUGGAGUGCUCCACCUCGCCAAAAUUAGGAGGGGAUGGAUCUGGAAAGCUCAGUGCACUCCAAAAUUAGGCCAGGGAUCCUCUCGUCCUCUGCUUCGACGCUUGCCUCCACUUGCAAGGAUUUCGCACCGCCGCGUCGGACCCCUCUAUCUCCCGUGCCAGUCCGGCUUCGCCCAGCUCCAACGAGCUCCUCGCUAGGUUGCUGCACCACCCCUCUUUUCUCCCUUCUUCUUUCCCUGACCUCCAUCUCUCUUCUGCCCCCAGGCCCUGCAAACUCAAGCCGCCGCUGCCGCCGCUCAAGCCGCCGUGUUGAUCCGUUCCCAAUUAAUAAACUCAGACGUAUGGACUGUCACAUUCGUGGCUCCGAGCAACCACCGCCG
rnacentral:lncRNA from 1 species